ACAAGUAACAGAAUUUCCAGCUAAAAGUGUCCUAAACGAGGAAGACGCUUCUGGCGUCAGGGGGAAGGAAGCCGGGCCGGCUGCCAGCCGCGGAGGCCUGCGCAGUCUCAGCUCUCUACUCCACCACGCUGGGCUUGUUGGCUUUUGUCUGUGAGCGUCCCCUCCGGCCACUGCUCUGAGGCUGUGUCCUCACACCACUGUGACCAAAGGCGGGCAGUGGCUCCCCUUCCAUCGCCCCUUGAACAGGGACGGAAAGCCAUUCUGAGACGCUCGCCGUCACCCCCUCAGCAGACUAACUCUCUUGCUGCUCCCAUUGGCAAGUGACUAGCGCUGGCCCUGGAGAACUGGGGCGGAGUGGGUGUCAGCCUCUACAGUGAGAGGGAAGUUUCAUAGAAGAAAAAACUGGAAUAGAAAUAGACAGGAAGAAAACACUAAGUGACGAAAACAAAAAUAUGAGCUGAGAAAGAAAAAUGAUGAAUUCUGCACGGAAGUGAUGUGAAAGCACAUGCAAGACAUCUCAGAGGGAAAACAGAUGCCCUUACCUUUUGUCCAAACGGAAAAAACUCACAUGGCGGAGUGUCUGUGGGCACCGAGACCAUGGCUCACUGGGUCGGUGAUGUGAGUGACAGCGUCUGGAACCAGCAGGCUGCCUGCCAAGAGCCACUGGCUGUGAAUUAAGAGGGAGCAACUCCAGAGCCGACUCAGGGCUAAACUACCAUCUGCAUCACCAAAGAAAAAGGAGAAACCCAGGCAACGGUGGCAAGUCGUUUGCCCAAGAAGACCACCUCCAACUCCCACGGAAGCCAUCGGUGCCAUCGCAGAGCAUGGACACGAACUGAUCCUCUUCUCUAUUUCAUGGACUGCCCAUUUUUUUCAACAUGGCUUCUGUAUGUAGAUUCCAGGGGAGUAGCAUAUAUUUAAAAUAGCUAAAGUUCUGGUUAAA